rfam:Lysinibacillus sphaericus OT4b.31 genomic scaffold Ls31_scaffold1, whole genome shotgun sequence.
UAUUGAGGUAGAGGUCGCGGUAUUUAUAAGUACGCUAAUGGAAAUGACAAGCAUUAAAGAUGUUAGCUGAAAGGAAAUACCGCCGAAGUGUGAGGGGACUUGAAAACCUCAUGCUGGGGCUGUUUCCGAAAGGAACAGAACUGUCACGUUGGAAUGACGUGUUGCGCUAUCAUUUGA